CUACCAUUCAAAAGACUGGGGUCAGUAAGAUUUAUUGUAUUGUUUUUUUUUUUUUUUUUUUUCAAAUAAUAAUUGUUUCUUGAAUGGUAGUGUAUGUAGAAAUGAACAUUAACCUAUUAACUAAUCGAUGUAGGUUGUACUGUAAGUCAGCACAAUCAAUUCAUAGUUAGUUCAUGAUACUUUUUAAAAGUAAAAUUGUAUCUUAUUGCAAAGUGUUACCGAAAUGUGUUUGUUUUUCCCAUUUCUUCAUUCUUUAAAUGCCUACUUUCAGUAAAUGGGAUGAGAUUUCACCUACUCUGAACAUCUGAAUUUGCAUUAGAAUACUGGAUCUUGUGUUAUUGCCCUGUGUUUGUUACAGUUGCAAUACUUUAUUGCAGAUCAUGGUACAUCAUAAAUUAUAACCCUUUAAUGAUUAUUUACGAGAUGCCUUAUGUUAAUGUACACAUUUCUACUGAUUGUUUUGAUUCAUAAUCAUUGUCUCUUUUUAUGACAAAAUGUCAAUGUCAUUGUGCCAUCUCAUUCUGGGAUCUAACCAGCAAUAGAAACUUACGUAGGGUUUCAUAUGAUUUUUCUGUACAUAUACACUGAGCACAUGAUGAUUUCUCUGAUUGUAGUUUUUUUUGUGACUGUUAUAACUAUUAUAAUGCAUUUUGACAUUAUUCCAUGUUUACAACUCGUGUACCUUUUUAGUAACACUCUUGUGAAUUGCCAUGCAUUUAAUGAAAGUGAGUGUGUAUUGCCUUCAUGACACAGCUGGCAGAAGACAACUUUACCAGACCAGCUGAACAAGCCUUAAUGAAGUAUUCCUGCUCUGACUCGUUCACUACCGUGCUCCUGUCUUGAGACGACAGCCAGAAUUAAACUACUGUGAACCAGCAGCGCUGCUGUCCCACAGACAUCUUCACUGUGUGUCUUCAUAAUAACACAUCUGUCUCGUGGCUCAGCCUGGAUAUAUCUAUGCCUGUGCAUCAUGCAACUGAACUUGUACAUGCAUCAAGAUUUAGCUAAACCAAUCAUAGUCUUAUUUGAACAACAAUAUGCUUUGAAUGGCAAUUUCAGCCUUGCUUUCUUGUUGAGUGAUGCUUUUAAAGUCACAUUUUGUAAUGUUUCCCAAUCUCAAGAGCCUGUUGUGUUUUUCUUGAUGCUGUGGUCAUUUCUGAAGGUGCUUUUGUAUUGAAAAUGUGACAUGCACAAGUUCUUCAGUAUGCCACCUUCUCCAUCUCUUUUUAACUUUAAAAAAUAUAUUAAUAUGAAGAGCAUACGGUGUUACCAUAUUUGAAUUAAUUUUUCCACCUUCCUUUCUUUGUGCUGAAAUUUUAGAUCUGGGUCACAAUAUACUGGGUUGUAGAUGUUGUCUUUUUCCAACUAAAUAUAGAUUUAUUCUCAA